rnacentral:rRNA from 1 species
GAACUUAAGUGAAUUAGUGGCGAACGGGUGAGUAACGCGUGAGUAACCUGCCUUACACAAGGGGAUAGCCUCUGGAAACGGAGAAUACAUACCCUAUGAAACUAUCUUAUCGCAUGAAUAGAUAGUCAAAGUGUUUAGCGGUGUACAGAUGGACUUGCGUCUGAUUAGCUAGUUGGUGAGAUAACAGCCCACCAAGGCAACGAUCAGUAGCCGGCUUGAGAGAGUGUACGGCCACAUUGGGACUGAGACACGGCCCAGACUCCUACGGGAGGCAGCAGUGGGGAAUUUUGCACAAUGGGGGCAACCCUGAUGCAGCGACGCCGCGUGAUUUAGAAGGCCUUCGGGUUGUAAAAAUCUUUUGUAUAGGGAGAAAAUGACAGUACUAUACGAAUAAGGUCCGGCUAAUUACGUGCCAGCAGCCGCGGUAAUACGUAAGGACCGAGCGUUGUCCGGAAUCAUUGGGCGUAAAGGGUACGUAGGCGGUUAGAAAAGUUAGAAGUGAAAGGCUAUAGCUCAACUAUAGUAAGCUUUUAAAACUGUUUAACUUGAGAGAUGGAAGGGAAAGUGGAAUUCCUAGUGUAGCGGUGAAAUGCGCAGAUAUUAGGAGGAAUACCGGUGGCGAAGGCGACUUUCUGGCCAUUAUCUGACGCUGAGGUACGAAAGCGUGGGUAGCAAACAGGAUUAGAUACCCUGGUAGUCCACGCCGUAAACGAUGAGUGUUAGGUGUCUGGUGUUAAACUGGGUGCCGCAGCUAACGCAAUAAACACUCCGCCUGGGGAGUACGCACGCAAGUGUG